rnacentral:rRNA from 1 species
UACGGGGGGGGGCAAGCGUUGUUCGGAAUUACUGGGCGUAAAGGGCGCGUAGGCGGCCUGCUAAGUCCGCUGUAAAAGUCAAAGGCUCAACCUUUGAAUGUCAGUGGAUACUGUCGGACUAGAGUCCGGAAGAGGCAAGUGGAAUUCCCGGUGUAGCGGUGAAAUGCGCAGAUAUCAGGAAGAACACCAGUGGCGAAGGCGGUCUGCUGGGCAGUGGACUCGAGAGAGUCCUUCAACCGACACUGAGGCGCGACAGCGUGGGGAGCAAACAGG